rnacentral:rRNA from 1 species
GACGAACGCUGGCGGCGUGCUUAACACAUGCAAGUCGAGCGGAAAGGCCCUUUCGGGGGUACUCGAGCGGCGAACGGGUGAGUAACACGUGAGUAAUCUGCCCUUCACUUUGGGAUAACCCCCGGAAACGGGAGCUAAUACCGGAUAUGACCGGCAACCGCCUGGUUUGUUGGUGGAAACGUUUUUGGGUGGGGGAUGUGCUCGCGGCCUAUCAGCUUGUUGGUGGGGUAAUGGCCUACCAAGGCUUUGACGGGUAGCCGGCCUGAGAGGGUGACCGGCCACACUGGGACUGAGACACGGCCCAGACUCCUACGGGAGGCGGCAGUGGGGAAUAUUGGACAAUGGGCGGAAGCCUGAUCCAGCAACGCCGCGUGAGGGAUGACGGCCUUCGGGUUGUAAACCUCUUUCAGCACCGACGAAGCGUGAGUGACGGUAGGUGCAGAAGAAGGGCCGGCCAACUACGUGCCAGCAGCCGCCGUAACAC